UACGUAGGUGGCAAGCGUUGUCCGGAUUUAUUGGGCGUAAAGAGCGUGUAGGCGGUUUGGUAGGUCCGCUGUGAAAACUCGAGGCUCAACCUCGAGACGCCGGUGGAAACCAUCAGGCUAGAGUCCGGAAGAGGAGAGUGGAAUUCCUGGUGUAGCGGUGAAAUGCGCAGAUAUCAGGAAGAACACCCGUGGCUAAGGCGGCUCUCUAGUACGGUACUGACGCUGAGACGCGAAAGCGUGGGGAGCGAACAGG
rnacentral:rRNA from 1 species